GUGGUGAAUAUUGGACAAUGGGCGAAAGCCUGAUCCAGCCAUGCCGCGUGUGUGAAGAAGGUCUUCGGAUUGUAAAGCACUUUAAGUUGGGAGGAAGGGCAGUAAGUUAAUACCUUGCUGUUUUGACGUUACCGACAGAAUAAGCACCGGCUAACUUCGUGCCAGCAGCCGCGGUAAUACGAAGGGUGCAAGCGUUAAUCGGAAUUACUGGGCGUAAAGCGCGCGUAGGUGGUUUUGUAAGUUGGAGGUGAAAUCCCCGGGCUCAACCUGGGAACUGCCUCCAAAACUGCAUGACUAGAGUACGGUAGAGGGUAGUGGAAUUUCCUGUGUAGCGGUGAAAUGCGUAGAUAUAGGAAGGAACACCAGUGGCGAAGGCGACUACCUGGACUGAUACUGACACUGAGGUGCGAAAGCGUGGGGAGCAAACAGGAUUAGAUACCCGGGUAGUCC
rnacentral:rRNA from 1 species